UAGCAUAGUGUAACAUCCUGUACCGUUUAUCCUGCACAGGGUCAUGGGGAGCCUGGAGCCUAUCCCUGGAGUCUCGAGCACAAGGCAGGGGACAUGUUGGACGGGGUGCCAACACACUGCAGGAUCAUCACAACACAAUCACACACAUUUACACACUACAGACAAUUUUGGGAACGACAAUCAGCCUACAGCUCAGGUCUUGGACUGGUGGAGGAAACCGGAAUACCUGAAGGAAAGUCCCGAAGCAUUGGGAGAACAUGAAACUCCACAUAUAUAUAUAUGUGAAGGAGGCGCGUGGCCUCUGUGUUUGUCAGUAUAAGUGAAGGAGGCGUGGCCUCUGUGUUUGUCAGUAUAAGUUAAGGAGGCAUGGCCUCAGUUUCUGUCACUCAGUGAAGGAGGUGUGGCCUCUGCGUGUGUAAAUCUCAUUACAGGAGGCGUGGCCUCUGUGUCUUUCAGUCUCAGUGAACAGCAGUAAGCCUGGUUGUGGUAAUUUAGUAGUCCCUAAAAAAAACACUGAGCCAUAAUUCAGAAAAGGGAAACACCUCCUCCUCUAGAAAAGAUCAUGAUUUAAAACAGACACAUCAGAUGUCACAUCACUGCAGGACGCCGCACAUCAUCCCCCGUCCGAGCUAAUGACUUCUGCAGACAUCCUGCCUGCGCUGUGGAAUUGUGGGACAUGUAGUCUCCAGCUGAGCAUGGAGCGCAUUUAUACAUUUAUGGUUAAAAGACAAAGAUCAUAAUUAUGUUGCAC
ensembl:lncRNA